UAAAGGCUAUAUGACGGUAAAAACAUACCGACUAGAAAUAUGUGCACUGGGGAAAUAAAUGGCGGUAAAGACAGUUCAAAAUGACUAGAGGUAGAGUGAAUAAGUCAUAAAAAGGCUAAGUAGCAAGGUCUUGUGGUGAAAGUUCCAACAUCAAAGUAUCACAAGUCCAGUUGCAACAGCAAGUUUGAAGCAGUCAAGCAGCUGAGGCCUGGCUGUCACCUUCUCUGUAUAUUCUUUGGCAAGGUGGUACAGUCCGAUACUGCUGUAGCACUGGGAAACUUCUUUGAUCAGACGGAUCACAUUGUUUUCAUUUGGGCUGCAUUCAAACAUGUGUUGUCGCAAGCUUAAGCAGCGAGAAUAAAGAGUAGACAUUCGA